rnacentral:rRNA from 1 species
UACGUAGGUGGCAAGCGUUGUCCGGAUUUAUUGGGCGUAAAGCGAGCGCAGGCGGUUUCUUAAGUCUGAUGUGAAAGCCCCCGGCUCAACCGGGGAGGGUCAUUGGAAACUGGGAGACUUGAGUGCAGAAGAGGAGAGUGGAAUUCCAUGUGUAGCGGUGAAAUGCGUAGAUAUAUGGAGGAACACCAGUGGCGAAGGCGGCUCUCUGGUCUGUAACUGACGCUGAGGCUCGAAAGCGUGGGGAGCGAACAGGAUUAGAUACCCUGGUAGUCCACGCCGUAAACGAUGAGUGCUAAGUGUUGGAGGGUUUCCGCCCUUCAGUGCUGCAGCAAACGCAUUAAGCACUCCGCCUGGGGAGUACGACCGCAAGGUUGAA